ACUGCGUUCAGCACAGGGACAUCUACAAAGAAGGGAAGAAGAAACAGGGACAGACCAGUGAAGCAAUAGAAUAGUUACGUGGUUGUCAUUCUCCAGCUGGGAUUGAGAACAAGGGGAAGCUGGCCAUAGAGCCAGGUGACCAAAGAUGGAAGACAAAGGGUGGGCUGUGAUUCCCAGAGCUCCAAGCCUUGUUCUGUCUUGUCACACCAACUGUUACUGAUGAACAGCUUGCAGUGCCAGUACCUUAAGACAGUUUUCUCCGUAAUGGGGCUAUGAGGGAAAUGAGCACCAAAGCACAUGACUUCAGGACAUGAGUGUGGGGUACAGGGAAAAGAGACAUGUUCUGAACCUGAAUGAAGCUGGGGAACCUCUCACCUGAGUGCCUGCAUUUGGCAGCCUGAUAUUUUCGGCAGCAGCAGUCACAUCAAUGAAGGCUCGCAUGAGAAUGUCCAAGUAGUUCAGUUUGGAAUAUUCCUGUUUGGAGACAGUGAAUGCAUUAGGGAAGUGAAAAGUGUCCUAGGCAAAGGCAAAUUACUUCCAUGGGACAGCCUCAAGCCAAGGUCAUACCUCUAGAAAUGUGCUGUUCCAUAACCUCGAGCGCAAAAUAAGAGACGCCUUGCUGUCCAGCCCCCGCAGCGGGCAUCUGAUGUUCACACAGUUCACG
rnacentral:lncRNA from 1 species